GAUGAACGCUGGCGGCGUGCCUAAUACAUGCAAGUCGAGCGAACGGACGAGAAGCUUGCUUCUCUGAUGUUAGCGGCGGACGGGUGAGUAACACGUGGAUAACCUACCUAUAAGACUGGGAUAACUUCGGGAAACCGUAGCUAAUACCGGAUAAUAUUUUGCACCGCGUGGUUCAAAAGUGAAAGACGGUCUUGCUGUCACUUAUAGAUGGAUCCGCGCUGCAUUAGCUAGUUGGUAAGGUAACGGCUUAUCACGGCAACGAUGCAUAGCCGACCUGAGAGGGUGAUCGGCCACACUGGAACUGAGACACGGUCCAGACUCCUACGGGAGGCAGCAGUAGGGAAUGUGCCGCAAUGGGCGAAAGCCUGACGGAGCAACGCCGCGUGAGUGAUGAAGGUCUUCGGAUCGUAAAACUCUGUUAUUAGGGAAGAACAUAUGUGUAAGUAACUGUGCACAUCUUGACGGUACCUAAUCAGAAAGCCACGGCUAACUACGUG
rnacentral:rRNA from 1 species